rnacentral:rRNA from 1 species
UCGAGAAUUUUUCACAAUGGGGGCAACCCUGAUGGAGCGACGCCGCGUGGAGGACGAAGGUCUUCGGAUUGUAAACUCCUGUCAUGCGGGAACAAGAAAGUGAUAGUACCGCAAGAGGAAGGGACGGCUAACUCUGUGCCAGCAGCCGCGGUAAUACAGAGGUCCCAAGCGUUGUUCGGAUUCAUUGGGCGUAAAGGGUGCGCAGGCGGCGUGGUAAGUUGAGUGUGAAAUCUCGGGGCUCAACCUCGAAACUGCACUCAAUACUCCCAUGCUAGAGGAAUGUAGAGGAGAGUGGAAUUCACGGUGUAGCAGUGAAAUGCGUAGAUAUCGUGAGGAAGACCAGUUGCGAAGGCGACUCUCUGGGCAUUUCCUGACGCUCAUGCACGAAGGCCAGGGGAGCAAACG